CACCUCUCAGGGUCGCAUCUGGAGAGUUUCCAGUAUUCUACCCAUCUCGACUAUUGGAGGGAGAGUCAAGCAGAGGCGUAUCCAUUCCAAUCCUAGCUUAGGCAGCAGUUAGAGAGUGGAAGGCCCUCUGCUACAAGA